rnacentral:rRNA from 1 species
UACAGAGGGGGCAAGCGUUGUUCGGAAUUACUGGGCGUAAAGGGCGCGUAGGCGGCCCGCUAAGUCGAACGUGAAAUCCCCGGGCUCAACCCGGGAACUGCGUCCGAUACUGGUGGGCUUGAAUCCGGGAGAGGGAUGCGGAAUUCCUGGUGUAGCGGUGGAAUGCGCAGAUAUCAGGAGGAACACCUAUAGCGAAGGCAGCUUGCUGGGACGUUACUGACGCUAAGGCGCGAAAGCGUGGGGAGCGAACAGG